rfam:Physcomitrella patens subsp. patens PHYPAscaffold_38 genomic scaffold, whole genome shotgun sequence.
GGUGGCCAAUGAUGAUCACAAACUUACCUACAUUGCCUGAAUCAUGUGAUGUAAUCUUAUCUAUAACCCUGAGGCCACC